GCUUUGAAGUGUGGACGCCAGUCUGCAUGGAGCCGACCUUGAAAUACCACCCUUUAAUGUUUGAUGUUCUAACGUGGACCCGUUACCCGGGUUGCGGACAGUGUCUGGUGGGUAGUUUGACUGGGGCGGUCUCCUCCUAAAGAGUAACGGAGGAGCACGAAGGUUGGCUAAUCCUGGUCGGACAUCAGGAGGUUAGUGCAAUGGCAUAAGCCAGCUUGACUGCGAGCGUGACGGCGCGAGCAGGUGCGAAAGCAGGUCAUAGUGAUCCGGUGGUUCUGAAUGGAAGGGCCAUCGCUCAACGGAUAAAAGGUACUCCGGGGAUAACAGGCUGAUACCGCCCAAGAGUUCAUAUCGACGGCGGUGUUUGGCACCUCGAUGUCGGCUCAUCACAUCCUGGGGCUGAAGUAGGUCCCAAGGGUAUGGCUGUUCGCCAUUUAAAGUGGUACGCGAGCUGGGUUUAGAACGUCGUGAGACAGUUCGGUCCCUAUCUGCCGUGGGCGCUGGAGAACUGAGGGGGGCUGCUCCUAGUACGAGAGGACCGGAGUGGACGCAUCACUGGUGUUCGGGUUGUCAUGCCAAUGGCACUGCCCGGUAGCUAAAUGCGGAAGAGAUAAGUGCUGAAAGCAUCUAAGCACGAAACUUGCCCCGA
rnacentral:rRNA from 1 species